GACAGAGGGUGCAAACGUUGUCCGGAUUUAUUGGGCGUAAAGAGCGUGUAGGCGGCCAGGUAGGUCUGCUGUGAAAACUCGAGGCUCAACCUCGAGCUGUCGGCGGAAACCAUCUGGCUAGAGUCCGGAAGAGGAGAGUGGAAUUCCUGGUGUAGCGGUGAAAUGCGCAGAUAUCGGGAAGAACACCUAUGGCGAAGGCAGCUCUCUGGGACGGUACUGACGCUGAGACGCGAAAGCGUGGGGAGCGAACAGG
rnacentral:rRNA from 1 species